GUGGGGAAUUUUGGACAAUGGGCGCAAGCCUGAUCCAGCAAUGCCGCGUGCAGGAUGAAGGCCUUCGGGUUGUAAACUGCUUUUGUACGGAACGAAAAGACUCUGGUUAAUACCUGGGGUCCAUGACGGUACCGUAAGAAUAAGCACCGGCUAACUACGUGCCAGCAGCCGCGGUAAUACGUAGGGUGCAAGCGUUAAUCGGAAUUACUGGGCGUAAAGCGUGCGCAGGCGGUUAUAUAAGACAGAUGUGAAAUCCCCGGGCUCAACCUGGGAACUGCAUUUGUGACUGUAUAGCUAGAGUACGGCAGAGGGGGAUGGAAUUCCGCGUGUAGCAGUGAAAUGCGUAGAUAUGCGGAGGAACACCGAUGGCGAAGGCAAUCCCCUGGGCCUGUACUGACGCUCAUGCACGAAAGCGUGGGGAGCAAACAGGAUUAGAAACCCGAGUAGUCC
rnacentral:rRNA from 1 species